UCUAAGUCAAGCUCCUUCCCUUUUUUUUUUCUUCCCAGAAUAUUGCCUCCCCUUUUGAUUUUCUGCCCUCGCAUGAAAAGAAGUCACCGUGAUUCUUUGCAAAUCCAUCGCUGCCGUCAUGAUUCUCAGCAAAUCCAUCACUACUGUCGCAUCGUGUCUUCCCGUCCUCUCAUCGCUUUCAGCUGGUUCGUGUCCAGUCGUGAUUCUCAGCAAAUCAAUCACCAUUGGUUUGCUUCCGUCGAAGGUAUCACAAAUUUUAGAGUUUGCUUCUACAUUCAGAUAUGGCUAGGGGUAGAGGUAAAGAAGAUGCACGUAAUGCUGAUUGUAGUGUUUUAACGGGUACAUGUAGAGGUCAAAGCUGAGGUGAUCCAUAAAUUGUUUGUGGUCGAGGCACUACAAUUGUUGUACCUACUUUAGCUGACUUUAGAGCCCCUACACCUAUUCCAAUAACCCAUGUACCAUGCUCAGCCCCUAGAGCCCUUACACUUGCUCUAGCUGCCCCUAUAGCCCCUGCACUUGAUCUAGUUGCCCCUACUGCCCCAACUUCUUCAAUUUCUAUUCCUGGAUCGAGUGCUAGUAGAUAUGCAUUGGGCAUGGGAGAUUACUCAUAUACAACCUCAUCACAUGCUACUAGGACCUUCUAUUAUGUGCAUGCAAGCGGAAAGUAAGUACAAUGUAUAAGAUUACUUAUCAUUGUAUUACAUAUCUUUGUUAUUAGUUUUUAUUUUGGUUAAUUAUUUAAAAAUAACUAUAUUGAAUAUUUAUAAAUUAUGCUCUCAUUGUUAAACUAUUAUAGUCUUAUGUCAUCUGAAAAGAUAUUUAGUGUCUGCACAAAUAUUUUUCAAAAGUACAAUGUCGAGGAGGGUUUUUCAUGGAAGAAUAUCCCACAAUUUACAAAAGAUUUUUAUUUUAAAGAAUUUGAGGUAUGCAAUAUAUUAUGCAUUCUAAUAAAGAUACAAUGUCUUAUAAUCUAUGUUGUAUUAUAUGUAUGUUUUUUAAAUUAAUUUACAGAAAGAAUUUCACUGAGAUGAGAAAAGUGCUGCAAUAGUGAGGAAGGCAUGGAAUAAAAAAGUAGCUACUCGAUACAAAGACUUUCUGACAAAUAAAAAGAAGAAGAAAAAAAGAGGAGUGCUUAUAUAUCAGUUGAAAUUUGGGAUAAAUGGAAUUUAGAUUGGAGCACUCUAGAGUAUGUAGCAAAGUCAAUGAAGUACUCAAAGAAUCGCCUAACAGAGAAGGGAGGUGAAGGAGCUAGUCCUUCUAAACAUACAGGCGGGUCCAUCACACACGAGGAGCAUGCUAGACGCAUACAAAAUGCUAACACAGACAAAGUUCCUCCAACAGCAGCUGAGUUGUUUCUCCAUACCCAUAUAAAGAAGAGUGAUCACAAUAAAUUUGUUGAUAAACAAGCUAAUUAAAAUUUUUUAUGUAAGUUUUUAUAUAAACAAGUUGUCUUUCUAAGUAAUAAAAAUUUUUUAAUUUGAUAUUGUUUAAUGAUUCUCAGUUAUGUGAUUGAUUUUUUGUUCU